GCGUCGUAGUCCGGAUUGGAGUCUGCAACUCGACUCCAUGAAGUCGGAAUCGCUAGUAAUCGUGGAUCAGAAUGCCACGGUGAAUACGUUCCCGGGCCUUGUACACACCGCCCGUCACACCAUGGGAGUGGGCUGCAAAAGAAGUAGGUAGUUUAACCUUCGGGGGGACGCUUACCACUUUGUGGUUCAUGACUGGGGUGAAGUCGUAACAAGGUAGCGCUAGGGGAACC
rnacentral:rRNA from 1 species